UCAGAAUUAAGCUAUGUUGAGUGGCUUAUAGGCUAAACAUGGAGACGAUUCUGCUACGGUUCGAAGAGUGAUUCCCACACACUUGACUUGACCGGCUCGAGUCUACCGGAGGCAGCAGUGGGAUAUUGACACUAGGGGAACCUCGAUCAGGAUGCCGCGUGUGUGAAGAAAGCCUUAUCGUGUUAAGCACCUUUAUGCGACGAGAGACUACGUUAGUUAUACCUACAUGAUAGUUGACCGUUACUCGCAGAAUAAGCACCGGCCUAACUUUUGUGCCAGCCAGGCCGCCGGUAAAUCAGAAGGGUGCCAAGCGGUUAUUCCGAUAUUACUUGGGCGUUAAAGCGCGCCGUCAGGCCGGCUAUGUCAGUCAAGAUGUGAAAUUCCCCGAGCCUAAACUUGGGAAUUGCCUUCGAUACUGGUCAGCUAGAGAUGUGUGAGAGGGAUGGUAGAAUUCCAAGUGUAGCGGUGAAAUGCGUAGAGAUCUGGAGGAAUACCGAUGGCGAAGGCAGCCAUCUGGCAUAACACUGACGGUGAGGUGCGAAAGCAUGGGGAGCAAACCAGAUUAGAUACCCUGGUAGUUCAUGCCGUUAACGAUGUCUAAUAGCCGGUGGGGCCUUUGAGGCUUUAGUGGCGCAGCUAACGCGAUAAGUAGACCGCCUGGGGAGUACGGUCGCAAGACUAAAACUCAAAUGAAUUGACGGGGGCCCGCACCAGCGGUGGAGCCUGUGGUUUAAUUUGAUGCAACGCGAAGAACCUUACCUGGCCUUGACAUAGUAAGAACUUUCCAGAGAUGGAUUGGUGCCUUUGGGAACUUACAUACCGGUGGUGCAUGGCUGUUGUCAGCUUGUGUCGUGAGAUGUUGGGUUAAGUCCCGCAACGAGCGCAACCCUUUUCCUUAUUUGCCAGCGAGUAAUGUCGGGAACUUUAAGGAUACUGCCAGUGACAAACUGGAGGAAGGCGGGGACGACGUCAAGUCAUCAUGGCCCUUACGGCCAGGGCUACACACGUGCUACAAUGGUCGGUACAAAGGGAUGCUACACAGCGAUGUCAUGCUAAUCUCAAAAAGCCGAUCGUAGUCCGGAUUGGAGUCUGCAACUCGACUCCAUGAAGUCGGAAUCGCUAGUAAUCGCGGAUCAGAAUGCCGCGGUGAAUACGUUCCCGGGCCCUGUACACACCGCCCGUCACCCCCUGGGAGUUUGGUGCACCAGAAGUAGCUAGCCUAACGCAAAGAGGCGCUAACAACGGUUGAUCAUUCA
rnacentral:rRNA from 1 species